GGGAAGGCGGCCAUUCCUGAUGAGCUACACCUGUGCUGGGAUGGAACCUUACCAGUAUGUCUGUGCAUAUACACGACUCCAUUCGAGGCGGCUCGUAGUACUCCAUUCCAGAUUUCAUCUGUUUCUCAACGAAGCUUCGAUCCAGCCAAGAAAUUCAGCCACUUUGGUGUAAACUCCAGGGUGGUUGGGCUCGGCGCAGCCAUUGCCCCAGCUGACGACCCCCAUUAACCUCCACACGUCAUCCUGGCACACCAAAGGACCGCCACUGUCCCCCUACACCGAUGUUGAAUACCAAUGUUGACAGAUGGCUCCAGUCUUCAUUCUGACCAACAACAUUCCAAAACGUUUUUGCAAGGAGCUGUUGCAUUUGUUGGUGCUGAUGAUGGGAACGGGGGCCUCUUUCAGGAUAUCUGAUGAGUGAACUAAGAGAGACAACACACGCCAUGGCUGCUCUGCCGGUAUGCUCGGAACGCAGGAACACAGGAUGUGUGCAAUCGCCAGUCGUACCGCCGUCAGGUUGUGUGUAUCCCCAGCCAGAGAUCCAGCACUGUGUACCUCCAGUGAUUUAUUUGGGCGAGGUCGUGUUUCGGUCAUCGGGUAGAAUACGACGACAAUCAAGCUGAUGUAGUGAAAUGGUUGAGAAACUUACGAACUGGCUGCGUCCGGAAGAACUCCACCGGGCAGCUUUCACCUUCACCCUUGCCGUUGAUGGCAAACAUCUUCACUUCGUAGUUGGUCUCCGGCUUCAGGUCUGUGACGGUCACCUCACCGAUGGAGCCUGUCAUCAAUGUUUUUUGCCUUCAGACUGACAACUGCAAGUCUGUUGACUGUUUGAAACCAAAUAUUUGGUUGUUUGGUCGGUAUGUCUCAAAAUGCAGUAUCAAUCCAACUGAGAACAUUCGGGGAUGGAUGGGAGGACAUCAAUUCCAGACAGUGGAAGCCAUCUUCACCACCAGGAGCAACAUUCCCACCAGCCUCCUGGGAAGACCGGCACCAACUUUUGAGCUCAUAGAUCCUCUGUGACCAGCUGCCCCUGCCCUGCGUCCUCCACGCGGCUUUGUACAUUAACACGGGCACGCCUCCAGUGGACUCGGGCCCCUCAAACUGAACGAGUGCAGUGGUGGAGAAAGGUGUCACCUCAUUGAUGAAAGGAGAUGAUGGCACCUCUAAGAAAAAGGUGAGGAAAAACAGCCAGUGCUUGUUAGACUGUUGUGGAUUGGACUCUUUGGUUUUUUCCUGUGACUGACCAGCCUGAAUGAGGAGGAACUCUUUGGACUCUGUGCCCAUCUCAUUAGAAGCGGAGCAGUUGUAGCUCCCAAAGUCAUUCUCAGACAACGGUGUGACCUGAAAAAAGGCAAAUUAAAGCAUUGUGAUAUUUGUAUUUGUUGCCGUGGGUUUCCAGCCUGAGUUAUUCACUGCAGAGCUGAAAGAAAACAUGUUGGCUCAUGAAAUGUUGAUGACGCAAAGAAGCGCAUUGUUGCGUAUGUAUUUUUUUUUACAGAUUGCAAAAUCACGUGCACACCUGAAGGUAGCUCGCUGAUGCAGAGCGGAAGAUUUUAAUAUUGCUGGUGUUUUCGUUUGGCAGCGUCAGACCGUCUCUCAGCCAGGUGAUGGUGACAUCGCCCGGGUGAGCCCGCACUUGGCAGCUGAUGUUGACAGCGUUUCCCUCCCAGGUGUACACGGCGACUUCGCCGCUGAUCUUUGGGGUAUCUUAGGGGAAAGAGAACAAAUCAUCACCAAGAUUGAACUUUGAUAAAAUGAGCUAAAGUGUUGUAUUGUUGCACCCAUGUUAAGCUAUCACGGUGGGAUCGUGGCCGUAGCGAUAGAAACUGGAGAUAAAAAUGUCUUGGGUUACUACAGACAAAAUAUGUUGUCUGAUACCAAUGUCCAUGGCAUCGUGUUUGUAUUAGAGUAAUACAUCACGCCAUUUAGGGAGAGAUGUCAGUGCUAUGUGUGUGUGAAACAAACACGCUGCAUCCAUCCAUUUUUUAAAGCAUUUGCUGGCGCCAAAAGCAGCGUGUUUGAUGCUUUAAAGUCAAGUUAAUUACAGCUGGCAGUGUCUCGUGCGCAGAUGCAAAUGUGUGAGGGCGUGAGAAAUCGCUGCUACUAAACAAGCCAGGGGGUCUGGUUAUGGGGGGCACGUCUUAAUUUCAUGUCACUGAGAACAUGCCGCCAUUUUUUUUGACAGUAGCAUCAGUUAGAAACAUUUCAGGCAGUAAAGUAACCAAGGAGCCGCCAACAGUGAGCUGUCAGAUGAAGCGCUGGCGGCGACAGGUUGCAUAUCUCCAGCCCGCCACCAGGUUACCAUACCACAGGACUGUGCUCGGCUGAUUUUUGGAGACUUGUGUCGUGCAGAGCCGUAAAAUCUGAUCAAGCAGAUCACAAACGAUGGAUUGUCAGAAGUUGCUACUGACGUGGAUCCUCUCCUUACUCGCUCUGCUUGUCUUCAGUAAAGGUUAAAGAAAUCCAUUUCAAUUGUCAUUAAUCAUUAACUUGCAUUAUUUUUCUGCAUUUAAUACUACCAUUAUUUUCUACAAAAUGUGAUUUUUGUUCAUAUUUUUAGGUCUCAACCAGUCCAGAGUACACCUGGGAUGGGCUCCAGCAUACCCCUGAGACCCUAGUGAGGCAUAGAAAAUGGAUGAAUUGAGUUUUAGGUGUCUGGAUGGGAUUCAUUUCAUUCAUUCGUCUGCUGCCUCAGUUUUUACGAUGGAAAUUUCUGAAGCAGAGUGCUAAGAUAAAUGGCAAAUAAUUGCAGAGUCCCUCUUUGUCGUGAAAAUGAAAUGAAAAACAUUUAGCUAUUUGCUAGGGUAGGAGGGAGCAUUAACAAGGAUAAAGAUUCAAUGACUGAGCAUGACAGACUGGAAGCUUUAAAAAAGUGGGUGGUGAUUGCAAUCUUUGUUUUUCAUCUGUUAAACACUUUGCUUAACACAAAAAAGGCCAGGAUAUUGCUGCAAGUACUGUUGAUGCUAAACCAAAUAUUCAUCAAAUCAUCAGGAACUUCAAGAAGAAAAGUUGGAUUGUUGAGAAGAAGGCUUCAGAAAGCCCAAGAAAGUCUUCAUGGGGGGCACCACCAGUGCGGUGCUGGCUCAGGAACGGUAGCAGGCAGACAUCAAUCAGAGGAGCAUCUCAGAGGUUCCACUGUCUACUUCUACAAAGAACAGAACUGUAAUACUCACAGCGGACCUCCAGAUAUGCUAUCUGAUCAUCCUCCCCAAUGGCGCUGCGUGCUGAGCAGAGAUACUGGCCGGCGUCUGUAUACUUGACGUACUUUAGCGUCAACGACGAGACGCGGGCAUCGCUCCUCACCACCACACUUCCAUCCUGACUCUAAACACAAGCAUAAAGCGGUCUGGUCAGUGAUAAUAUGCGUUACUCUUAUGGCUGUAAUGCUGUUUUACAUAAUGCAGAGGAGUCAAGUAAAAAUAUGGAAGGAAAAAAAGAUGCCUUUUAAUGAGCAGAGAAGACAUUUGAUUACAGAGAAGGCGACAGUGCACUCAGUAGAGAUGUGGAAAGAAAAGCGGCCAUAACAGCAGCAGGGAGCUGAUCAAUAAUUCAAGGCAGGAGGACCCAUGUAGAGCUUUCCAUUCGGAGUGCUUAGCAACUUGUGACGGCACCGCUUUACCUUGAGCCAGCUUGGCACUUUUACAUUCCUGCUUCUUAAGGCUUAUGUCAGGGUGUUUUUUUUUUUGUUGUUGUUGUUUUUUACUCCAUUGCUUGUUUAUUCCCAGCCUGAUUUGGCUGUUAUGCUUUCCAAAUGUGUGAGGAAGAGCAAUGUUGCACUUGGAGGCAGGGAAAUGACAACAAGCAGCUGGCUAAUGAGUUAUGCUUCACCAACACCUGAUUUUAAGUAGAUUCCUCACCUUUGGUGUCAACAGGUGACACUUCAAUUGUGGUGCAUUUAAAAAAAAAAAUCAUUGUUGCUAAUACUGCAUCCUCAAGGCGUGUCAUUUUCUCCCAACCCAAUGAUGCCGAUGGCAUUAAUGCAUGAAGCAAGUGUGUCAUUGACUCCUGCAAGUGCUCAUAAUGGUUUUAUGAAAUGUUCCACAUGCACCAUUUGAUUGUUUGCAAAUGGAAGGGACUAAAAAUUGUCUUUGAGAUGUUUUUCCUUAUGAAGGCAUUGAGCACACGCAAAUGUUUUUUUGAAAUAGUUGGUUUAGUUUAGUGGAUUUAGUGAAGUGGCUCACUUCACAAGGUGCAACGGAAGUAAAGUAGCUCUUUUGAGCGCUUUCUACAUGGCUUCGGUCCAGCCUGCAGCCAAAACAACACCAUGGAGGUUUUACACAUACUGAUUGAGCAGCCAUGUAGAGAGAGAAACCUUGCUUGGUUUGUAUUCAAAUUCCACAGGCCAAGCAUUCAUUAUGCAUCGUUGGUAGAGGGACUGGAGCAACGCUUAUAUAACACAAUGGCCUUUUAUUCUGACCCCUGUGCGCAAAACAUUCUCCGUUAGACUUCUGCAUCUUGGCAACAACCCCCCCCCCACGUACACCAUGAAGUCUACAUUUGUUCAUAAUUUAGUCAAUAAAGACUCUUUCAACUAAAUCGCCUUCAUUUUCCUGUCAGCUGCAGCUGGCUACUCUCAACCAAACCAAAUUGUCACCCUUUUCCUUCUAUGACGGCAGGGAGUGUCUUCAUCCCUCUGCCGAGGUUAGCAGGUGUCUACUAGGAGUAAAGCGUCCAUUUGUUUGUACUGUUCUAUUGUAUUUGUAUAGUUUUUCUACACAGAAAUAAUCAUUAUUCCAUAAUAGAUGGUCACCUCUAUUCAAAUCA